ACGCCUGCCCAGUGAACAAUUAAACGGCCGCGGUACCCUAACCGUGCAAAGGUAGCAUAAUCACCUGUCUACUAAUUAUAGACCUGUAUGAAAGGCAAAAUGAGGGCUUAACUGUCUCUUAUAGUAAAUCAAUUAAACUGAUCUUCUAGUAAAAAAGCUAGAAUUACCACAUAAGACCAGAAGACCCUGUGAAGCUUAAACUAAACUAUUAAACCUAAUAAUAACUACUUUAGGUUGGGGCGACCUUGGAAAAAAGAAUAACUUCCAAAAAUCUAACGAUAAAACCAGGCCAACAAGCCAAUUAAAUAGACCCAGCAAAGCUGAAAAUUGAACCAAGUUACUCCAGGGAUAACAGCGCAAUCUUCUUCAAGAGCCCAUAUCAAAAAGAAGGUUUACGACCUCGAUGUUGGAUCAGGACAUCCUAAUGGUGCAGAAGCUAUUAAGGGUUCGUUUGUUCAACGAUUAACAGUCCUACGUGAUCUG
rnacentral:rRNA from 1 species